GCCUACGGGAGGCUGCAGUGGGGAAUCUUCCGCAAUGGACGAAAGUCUGACGGAGCAACGCCGCGUGAGUGAAGAAGGUUUUCGGAUCGUAAAGCUCUGUCUUCCAGGACGAAAGUAGAUAUUGUGAAUAAUGAUAUUUAAUGACGGUACUUGAGGAGGAAGCCACGGCUAACUACGUGCCAGCAGCCGCGGUACUACGUAGGUGGCAAGCGUUGUCCGGAAUUAUUGGGCGUAAAGGGAGCGCAGGUGGGAAUAUCAGUCUAUCUUAAAAGUUCGGGGCGCAACCGCGUGAUGGGAUGGAAACUAUAUUUCUUGAGUGCAGGAGAGGAAAGUGGAAUUCCUAGUGUAGCGGUGAAAUGCGAAGAUAUUAGGAGGAACACCAGUGGCGAAGGCGACUUUCUGGACUGUAACUGACACUGAGGCUCGAAAGCCAGGGUAGUGAACGGGAUUAGAUACCCUGGUAGUCUUC
rnacentral:rRNA from 1 species